GUAGGAUAGGUGGGAGGCUUUGAAGUGUGGACGCCAGUCUGCAUGGAGCCGACCUUGAAAUACCACCCUUUAAUGUUUGAUGUUCUAACGUGGACCCGUGAUCCGGGUUGCGGACAGUGUCUGGUGGGUAGUUUGACUGGGGCGGUCUCCUCCUAAAGAGUAACGGAGGAGCACGAAGGUUGGCUAAUCCUGGUCGGACAUCAGGAGGUUAGUGCAAUGGCAUAAGCCAGCUUGACUGCGAGCGUGACGGCGCGAGCAGGUGCGAAAGCAGGUCAUAGUGAUCCGGUGGUUCUGAAUGGAAGGGCCAUCGCUCAACGGAUAAAAGGUACUCCGGGGAUAACAGGCUGAUACCGCCCAAGAGUUCAUAUCGACGGCGGUGUUUGGCACCUCGAUGUCGGCUCAUCACAUCCUGGGGCUGAAGUAGGUCCCAAGGGUAUGGCUGUUCGCCAUUUAAAGUGGUACGCGAGCUGGGUUUAGAACGUCGUGAGACAGUUCGGUCCCUAUCUGCCGUGGGCGCUGGAGAACUGAGGGGGGCUGCUCCUAGUACGAGAGGACCGGAGUGGACGCAUCACUGGUGUUCGGGUUGUCAUGCCAAUGGCACUGCCCGGUAGCUAAAUGCGGAAGAGAUAAGUGCUGAAAGCAUCUAAGCACGAAACUUGCCCCGAGAUGAGUUCUCCCUGACCCUUUAAGGGUCCUGAAGGAACGUUGAAGACGACGACGUUGAUAGGCCGGGUGUGUAAGCGCAGCGAUGCGUUGAGCUAACCGGUACUAAUGAACCGUGAGGCUUAACCUUACAACGCCGAAGGUGUUU
rnacentral:rRNA from 2 species